CCUACGGGGCGCUGCAGUGAGGAAUAUUGGUCAAUGGGCGUAAGCCUGAACCAGCCAAGUCGCGUGAGGGAUGAAGGUUCUAUAGAUCGUAAACCUCUUUUAUAAGGGAAUAAAGUGUGGGACGUGUCCUAUUUUGUAUGUACCUUAUGAAUAAGGAUCGGCUAACUCCGUGCCAGCAGCCGCGGUAAUACGGAGGAUCCGAGCGUUAUCCGGAUUUAUUGGGUUUAAAGGGUGCGUAGGCGGCCUUUUAAGUCAGCUGUGAAAGUUUGUGGCUCAACCAUAGAAUUGCCGUUGAAACUGGGGGGCUUGAGUAUGUUUGAGGCAGGCGGAAGGCGUGGUGUAGCGGUGAAAUGCUUAGAUAUCACGAAGAACCCCGAUUGCGAAGGCAGCCUGCCAAGCCAUGACUGACGCUGAUGCACGAAAGCGUGGGGAUCAAACAGGAUUAGAUACCCUAGUAGUC
rnacentral:rRNA from 1 species